rnacentral:rRNA from 1 species
AUUGAACGCUGGCGGCAGGCCUAACACAUGCAAGUCGAGCGGAUGAAGGGAGCUUGCUCCUGGAUUCAGCGGCGGACGGGUGAGUAAUGCCUAGGAAUCUGCCUGGUAGUGGGGGAUAACGUCCGGAAACGGGCGCUAAUACCGCAUACGUCCUGAGGGAGAAAGUGGGGGAUCUUCGGACCUCACGCUAUCAGAUGAGCCUAGGUCGGAUUAGCUAGUUGGUGGGGUAAAGGCCUACCAAGGCGACGAUCCGUAACUGGUCUGAGAGGAUGAUCAGUCACACUAGAACUGAGACACGGUCCAGACGCCUACGGGAGGCAGCAGUCGGGAAUAUUGGACAAUGGGCGAAAGCCUGAUCCAGCCAUGCCGCGUGUGUGAAGAAGGUCUUCGGAUUGUAAAGCACUUUAAGUUGGGAGGAAGGGCAGUAAGUUAAUACCUUGCUGUUUUGACGUUACCAACAGAAUAAGCACCGGCUAACUUCGUG